UGAGUUCUCCCUGAGACUGUAAGUCUCCUGAACGAACGUUGAAGACGACGACGUUGAUAGGCCGGGUGUGUAAGCGCAGCGAUGCGUUGAGCUAACCGGUACUAAUGAACCGUGAGGCUUAGCCUU
rnacentral:rRNA from 1 species